UAUUAGUAAGCAAUAUAUUGCGUACCGGUUUCGACCCGGUAAGGGCCGAUGGCACUAAUUC
rnacentral:tRNA from 1 species